rnacentral:rRNA from 1 species
UACGUAGGGUGCAAGCGUUGUCCGGAAUUAUUGGGCGUAAAGAGCUCGUAGGCGGUCUGUUGCGUCGGCUGUGAAAACCCGGGGCUCAACCCCGGGCCUGCAGCCGAUACGGGCAGACUAGAGUUCGGUAGGGGAGUCUGGAAUUCCUGGUGUAGCGGUGAAAUGCGCAGAUAUCAGGAGGAACACCGGUGGCGAAGGCGGGACUCUGGGCCGAUACUGACGCUGAGGAGCGGAAGCGUGGGGAGCAAACAGG